rnacentral:lncRNA from 1 species
GGCGUCACAAGGUAAUAACGAUGUGAACAACGAAAGCAACACUAUUGGUACCGGUGUACUAAAUCCUGCAAUGAUCGUUGUUAACCCUAUGGAGACCACGACUGACAUUUCUCCCAUUGACGGGAUAAUUGGAGGCCGGAUUCCUUAUCUUGGAGUGAACCCAACUUUGCCUUCGACUGCGGCCUCGGUAAUCCAGUUUGGCACAAUACCUUUGCUAGUGCCUAGGGCUGCGGCUUUGGCACCUUUGCCAUCGUUUCCGACUCCAUUUUCGGUGAAUUAUGUAAUUCGACCGGAUAAGUUUGCUGGUACUGAUUUUAAGACAUGGCAGAAUAAGAUGAUUUUCUAUCUCACUACGUUGGGCCUUGCACGUUUCCUCACUAAGGAUGCCCCUAUCGUGGCUGAAAACGACACUAAUGUGCAUAGGCGUGCAGCUUGGGAUGCUUGGAAAAAUGCUGAUUUUUUGUGCCGCAACUAUGUCUUGGAUGGCCAACAGAACUCUCUGUAUCACGUAUAUGUGGUAAAGAAGUCUGCUAAGGAGCUCUGGGAGUCCUUAGAAAAGAAAUACAAGACCGAGGAUGCCGGAUCUAAAAAAUUCUUAGCCAGUCAGUGUAUGGACUUCGAAAUGGUUGAUUCAUGUUCAGUGGUGAGCCAAGUGCAGGAGUAUCAAGUGCUUUUGCAAAAAAUGCAUACUGAGAGUUUGGCCAUGUCAGAAUCUCUACAGGUGGCUAUUGCUAUUCACAAGCUACCUCCUCAGUGGAAGGCUUUCAAAAGCUAUUUGCAGUAUAAGAGGAAAUAUAUGUCUUUCGAUGAUUUAAUUAUCAAGCUGCGCAUUGAGAAGGAUAACAAAUGGGCUGAACGUAAGUCAGAGAAUUCUUACUCUGAGAAGGCUAAUGUAUUGGAGUACGGCCAAAGUUCUGGUACUAAGAAAGUUCACUCCUUUAAAGCCAAACAGGAUAACGGAAAUCGAAAAGAUAAAAAAUAGGCUACGAAAGGGUUUUAGUUGAAGCUUGCAGGUAGGGUAGGAAAGAAACCUAAGUUCCAGUUCAAUGGAAAGUGUUUCAAUUGUGACAAAGUUGGGCAUCGAUCAGUAGACUGUCGUCAGCCUCGGAGGGAUAAUAAGCAGCGUCCUCAGGCUAAUAUGGUUGGAAAUGAGAGAGAUCAUCUCUCAGAUGAAAUGUCUGAGCUAAACCUCACGGCGGUGAUUAGUGAGGUUAAUCUGGUGGGGUCUAACCCAAAGGAGUGGUGACUGGACACUGGGGCCACUUGCCAUGUCUGCUCCAACGGAGCAUGUUCACUACUUUUGCACCAGUUACAAAUGGUGAAAAGUUGUUCAUGGGAAACUCUGCAACUUCUGAAGUGCUUGGUAAAGGCAAGGUGAUCCUGAAGAUGACAUCUGGCAAAGAGCUUACUCUGACUAAUGUGCUGUACGUGCCACAGAUUCGCAAGAAUCUGGUCUCUGGGUCUCUUCUGAGCAAGAAUGGGUUCCGCAUGGUCUUUGAGGCGGAUAAGCUGGUGAUUACCAAAAUAGGAGUUUAUGUUGGGAAAGACUAUAUGACUGAUGGCCUGUUUAAAUUGAAUGUAAUUGCUGUAACCCCAACUGUUAUGAGUAAUGAGAAAACUCCUUCUGUUUACUUGCUUGAGUCUCCUAAUCUGUGGCAUGGUAGAUUAGGUCACGUAAAUUACAAUGCUUUACGUAGACUAAGCAAACUAAAUUACUUGCCUAGGUUUCAAAUUGAUUCAAAUCAUAAAUGUGAAACAUGCGUUGAAUCUAAGCUUACUAGGUCUUCGUUUCAUAGUAUUGAAAGAAGUAUCGAGCCAUUGGGACUAGUCCACAGUGAUGU